rnacentral:rRNA from 1 species
AGUGAACGCUGGCGGCAGGCCUAAUACAUGCAAGUCGAACGGCAGCACAGCAGAGCUUGCUCUGUGGGUGGCGAGUGGCGGACGGGUGAGGAAUACAUGGGAAUCUGCCCAGUCGUGGGGGAUAACGUAUGGAAACGUACGCUAAUACCGCAUGCGCCCUACGGGGGAAAGUCGGGGACCGCAAGGCCUGACGCGAUUGGAUGAGCCCAUGUUCGAUUAGCUGGUUGGCGGGGUAAAGGCCCACCAAGGCGACGAUCGAUAGCUGGUCUGAGAGGAUGAUCAGCCACACUGGAACUGAGACACGGUCCAGACUCCUACGGGAGGCAGCAGUAGGGAAUAUUGGACAAUGGGGGCAACCCUGAUCCAGCCAUGCCGCGUGAGUGAAGAAGG